GACGAACGCUGGCGGCGUGCUUAACACAUGCAAGUCGAACGAAGUGGCGAACGGGUGAGUAACGCGUAAUCAACCUGCCCUUCAGAGGGGGACAACAGUUGGAAACGACUGCUAAUACCGCAUACUGAAGGAGGGGAUUGCGUCUGAUUAGCUAGUGGGAGGGGUAACGGCCCACCAAGGCGCUGAUCAGUAGCCGGUCUGAGAGGAUGAACGGCCACAUUGGGACUGAGACACGGCCCAGACUCCUACGGGAGGCAGCAGUGGGGAAUCUUCCGCAAUGGACGAAAGUCUGACGGAGCAACGCCGCGUGAGUGAAGAAGGUUUUCGGAUCGUAAAGCUCUGUUGUUAAGGAAGCGGUACCGGAAUAGAAAGCCACGGCUAACUACGUGCCAGCAGCCGCGGUAAUUC
rnacentral:rRNA from 1 species